GUUGAUAGCUCAGUUGGUUAGAGUGUGGUUCUGAUAAUGCCAAGGUUGCAGGUUCAGUUCCCAUAUGGGACA